GGAGAAUCUGACAACUAUGGGACAGAAUUAUUAGUACUUACCAAUGCACGAAAAGAAACAACGAAAUUUUAAGUAAUGAAAAUAUUCCUCAACCACAAAGCAUGUGAACUUCAUUGUUUUAUUGUUAUUCAACCACAAAUUCAUAAGGGCUCAUAGGGAAAAGUUUGAACCAAGCAAAAUCAUUGAGCUUAGUCGAAGUACAAUAGUAGUAAAAAUAAUAAGUGAAAAAGACUCACUAAUACAAAUGUAGAACACUUGUUCGUAGACUAAUCUACAAGUAUUUGUAUAAUCCAAUUGGAUAUCUAAUAGUUUUUCACCUACAAAACUCUUUAAAAUUCAACUUUUC
rnacentral:misc_RNA from 1 species